AUGAAGAAAUAUGCUGACCUAAAGAGAGUAGAGAGGACACUUACUGUGUGUGACAUGGUCUAUCUCAAAAUGCAGCCCUACGGACUAAAUGCCUUUGGCCUGCGCUCUCACAUCAAACUACAAAGCAAGUUCUAUGGCCCUUUCAGGGUAAUAGCAAAAGUGGGCAAUGUGGUGUACAAACUCCUCCUGACUUAUACUGCAAGCAUCCAUCCAGUGUUUCAUGUCGGCCAGUUGAAGAGACACCUGGGACCAACAGCGGUACCUUGCACUGAUCCGCCACUAAUUGGCCCUUAUGGCCGCAUUCGAACAGAGCCUAGUCUGGUACUGGAAACUAGACAAAUUCCUCCCAUGGGAAAACCUUCCUCCUGA
rnacentral:rRNA from 1 species